rnacentral:rRNA from 1 species
UACGGAGGGUGCAAGCGUUGCUCGGAAUUAUUGGGCGUAAAGGGCAGGUAGGUGGUCUCAUUUGUCCGGGGUGAAAGCCUUGAGCUUAACUCAAGAAGUGCCCCGGAAACGGUGAGACUAGAGUGCUGGAGAGGGUCGUGGAAUUCCCGGUGUAGCGGUGAAAUGCGUAGAGAUUGGAAAGAACACCGAUGGCGAAGGCACUUUACUGGGCUAUGACUAACACUCAGAGACGAAAGCUAGGGUAGCAAAUGGG